ACGGCUCAGUAACACGUGGAUAACCUACCCUGAGGAGAGGGAUAACCCCGGAAAACUGGGGAUAAUACCUCAUAGAUCAGAGAUGCUGGAAUGCUUUCUGGUCCAAAGGUCCGCCGCCUCAGGAUGGGUCUGCGGCCGAUUAGGUUGUUGUUGGGGUAACGGCCCAACAAGCCUUUGAUCGGUACGGGUUGUGGGAGCAAGAGCCCGGAGAUGGAUUCUGAGACACGAAUCCAGGCCCUACGGGGCGCAGCAGGCGCGAAAACUUUACAAUGCGAGAAAUCGUGAUAAGGGAACCCCGAGUGCCCGUAAAUCCGGGCUGUCCAUCAGUGUAAAUAACUGGUGAAGAAAGGGCCGGGCAAGACCGGUGCCAGCCGCCGCGGUAAUACCGGCGGCUCGAGUGGUGGCCGCUAUUACUGGGCUUAAAGCGUUCGUAGCUGGGCUGUUAAGUCCCCUGGGAAAUCCACCGGCUCAACCGAUGGGCGUUCAAGGGAUACUGGCAGCCUAGGGACCGGGAGAGGUGAGGGGUACUUCAGGGGUAGGAGUGAAAUCCUGUAAUCCUUGGGGGGCCACCUGUGGCGAAGGCG
rnacentral:rRNA from 1 species